UAAGCGACUAAGCGUACACGGUGGAUGCCCUGGCAGUCAGAGGCGAUGAAGGACGUGCUAAUCUGCGAUAAGCGUCGGUAAGGUGAUAUGAACCGUUAUAACCGGCGAUUUCCGAAUGGGGAAACCCAGUGUGAUUCGUCACACUAUCAUUAACUGAAUCCAUAGGUUAAUGAGGCGAACCGGGGGAACUGAAACAUCUAAGUACCCCGAGGAAAGAAAUCAACCGAGAUUCCCCCAGUAGCGGCGAGCAACGGGGAGCAGCCCAGAGCCUGAAUCAGUGUGUGUGUUAGUGGAAGCGUCUGGAAAGGCGCGCGAUACAGGGUGACAGCCCCGUACACAAAAAUACACAUACUGUGAGCUCGAUGAGUAGGGCGGGACACGUGGUAUCCUGUCUGAAUAUGGGGGGACCAUCCUCCAAGGCUAAAUACUCCUGACUGACCGAUAGUGAACCAGUACCGUGAGGGAAAGGCGAAAAGAACCCCGGCGAGGGGAGUGAAAAAGAACCUGAAACCGUGUACGUACAAGCAGUGGGAGCACUGCGUAGGCGUGUGACUGCGUACCUUUUGUAUAAUGGGUCAGCGACUUAUAUUCUGUAGCAAGGUUAACCGAAUAGGGGAGCCGAAGGGAAACCGAGUCUUAACUGGGCGUUAAGUUGCAGGGUAUAGACCCGAAACCCGGUGAUCUAGCCAUGGGCAGGUUGAAGGUUGGGUAACACUAACUGGAGGACCGAACCGACUAAUGUUGAAAAAUUAGCGGAUGACUUGUGGCUGGGGGUGAAAGGCCAAUCAAACCGGGAGAUAGCUGGUUCUCCCCGAAAGCUAUUUAGGUAGCGCCUCGUGAAUUCAUCUCCGGGGGUAGAGCACUGUUUCGGCAAGGGGGUCAUCCCGACUUACAACCCGAUGCAAACUGCGAAUACCGGAGAAUGUUAUCACGGGAGACACACGGCGGGUGCUAACGUCCGUCGUGAAGAGGGAAACAACCCCAGACCGCCAGCUAAGGUCCCAAAGUCAUGGUUAAGUGGGAAACGAUGUGGGAAGGCCCAGACAGCCAGGAUGUUGGCUUAGAAGCAGCCAUCAUUUAAAGAAAGCGUAAUAGCUCACUGGUCGAGUCGGCCUGCGCGGAAGAUGUAACGGGGCUAAACCAUGCACCGAAGCUGCGGCAGCGACGCUUAUGCGUUGUUGGGUAGGGGAGCGUUCUGUAAGCCUGCGAAGGUGUGCUGUGAGGCAUGCUGGAGGUAUCAGAAGUGCGAAUGCUGACAUAAGUAACGAUAAAGCGGGUGAAAAGCCCGCUCGCCGGAAGACCAAGGGUUCCUGUCCAACGUUAAUCGGGGCAGGGUGAGUCGACCCCUAAGGCGAGGCCGAAAGGCGUAGUCGAUGGGAAACAGGUUAAUAUUCCUGUACUUGGUGUUACUGCGAAGGGGGGACGGAGAAGGCUAUGUUGGCCGGGCGACGGUUGUCCCGGUUUAAGCGUGUAGGCUGGUUUUCCAGGCAAAUCCGGAAAAUCAAGGCUGAGGCGUGAUGACGAGGCACUACGGUGCUGAAGCAACAAAUGCCCUGCUUCCAGGAAAAGCCUCUAAGCAUCAGGUAACAUCAAAUCGUACCCCAAACCGACACAGGUGGUCAGGUAGAGAAUACCAAGGCGCUUGAGAGAACUCGGGUGAAGGAACUAGGCAAAAUGGUGCCGUAACUUCGGGAGAAGGCACGCUGAUAUGUAGGUGAAGUCCCUCGCGGAUGGAGCUGAAAUCAGUCGAAGAUACCAGCUGGCUGCAACUGUUUAUUAAAAACACAGCACUGUGCAAACACGAAAGUGGACGUAUACGGUGUGACGCCUGCCCGGUGCCGGAAGGUUAAUUGAUGGGGUCAGCGCAAGCGAAGCUCUUGAUCGAAGCCCCGGUAAACGGCGGCCGUAACUAUAACGGUCCUAAGGUAGCGAAAUUCCUUGUCGGGUAAGUUCCGACCUGCACGAAUGGCGUAAUGAUGGCCAGGCUGUCUCCACCCGAGACUCAGUGAAAUUGAACUCGCUGUGAAGAUGCAGUGUACCCGCGGCAAGACGGAAAGACCCCGUGAACCUUUACUAUAGCUUGACACUGAACAUUGAGCCUUGAUGUGUAGGAUAGGUGGGAGGCUUUGAAGUGUGGACGCCAGUCUGCAUGGAGCCGGCCUUGAAAUACCACCCUUUAAUGUUUGAUGUUCUAACGUUGACCCGUAAUCCGGGUUGCGGACAGUGUCUGGUGGGUAGUUUGACUGGGGCGGUCUCCUCCUAAAGAGUAACGGAGGAGCACGAAGGUUGGCUAAUCCUGGUCGGACAUCAGGAGGUUAGUGCAAUGGCAUAAGCCAGCUUGACUGCGAGCGUGACGGCGCGAGCAGGUGCGAAAGCAGGUCAUAGUGAUCCGGUGGUUCUGAAUGGAAGGGCCAUCGCUCAACGGAUAAAAGGUACUCCGGGGAUAACAGGCUGAUACCGCCCAAGAGUUCAUAUCGACGGCGGUGUUUGGCACCUCGAUGUCGGCUCAUCACAUCCUGGGGCUGAAGUAGGUCCCAAGGGUAUGGCUGUUCGCCAUUUAAAGUGGUACGCGAGCUGGGUUUAGAACGUCGUGAGACAGUUCGGUCCCUAUCUGCCGUGGGCGCUGGAGAACUGAGGGGGGCUGCUCCUAGUACGAGAGGACCGGAGUGGACGCAUCACUGGUGUUCGGGUUGUCAUGCCAAUGGCACUGCCCGGUAGCUAAAUGCGGAAGAGAUAAGUGCUGAAAGCAUCUAAGCACGAAACUUGCCCCGAGAUGAGUUCUCCCUGACUCCUUGAGAGUCCUGAAGGAACGUUGAAGACGACGACGUUGAUAGGCCGGGUGUGUAAGCGCAGCGAUGCGUUGAGCUAACCGGUACUAAUGAACCGUGAGGCUUAACCU
rnacentral:rRNA from 1 species